UGAGCAAUCUGCCCUUCUCUUCGGAAUAAGCGUUGGAAACGACGUCUAAUGCCGAAUACGACCUCCUUUCGCAUGAUCGGAGGUGGAAAGCUCCGGCGGAGAAGGAUGAGCUCGCGGCCUAUUAGCUAGUUGGUGAGGUAAAGGCUCACCAAGGCGACGAUCCUUAGCUGGUCUGAGAGGAUGAUCAGCCACACGUGGGACUGAGACACGGCCCAGAUCCGUAACGGGG
rnacentral:rRNA from 1 species